AUUUUUUUUUGCAGCCAGAACAAAUUUAUUCAAGAAAAAUAAAUUUGUAGAGGUGGGUGGCCAACUUCCAGCAUGCACAUAGACCAAACAUGUGGCAGGGACCCCAGUCCCCACAGUGAGCUAAACCUUUUAUAUAGUGUUUUUAUUUAAGUUAUACAAGUUUCAUGUAUUCAUAUAUAUAGAUUUAGGAAUAUAGUGACACUUCCCCCUCCACCCUCACUACUCCCAACACUCCAACGCUUCCUCCUCCUCCCUCUCAUAUUCCCACUCUUAAUUUUUACUAAGAUCUAUUUUCAGUUUACAAAAUUGUGGUAUAGUUAACCCUAUACUAAGUAGAAGAGUUUAGCAAAUAGUAUGAAGAAGAAGAAAAAAAAAAGACACUGUUCCUCAACAGAAGAGACAAGAGAGGUAAACAAACAUCAAAUCUCAAAAUGUCUCUUUCAUUUCAAUACAUUACAUUUCAAGUACUCUGUUAGUUACCUAGCAUCAGGGAAAACAUAUCUGUCUUUUUGGGACUGACUUAUUUCACUAAAUGUAAUGGUUUUCAGUUGCGUCCUUCUUGUUGCAAAAGAUAGGAUUUCAUUUUUUUUUAACAACUGAGUAGUACUCCAUAGUGUAUAUAGCCAUAAUUUCUUUAUCUAGUCAAUAGUUGAUGGACAUCUGGGUUGAUUCCAUAUCUUACCUAUUGUGAAUUGAGCUGCAGUGAAUAUGUGGGUACAAAUAACUCUUUCAUAUACUUAUUUCUUUGGGGUCAAAUGGUAGGUCUAUAUUCAGAUUUCUGAAGUAUCUCCCUACUGUCUUCGACAGUGGCUGCACCAGUUUACAUUACCACCAACAAUGGAUUAGGGUACCUUUGUCCCCACAGCCUUGCCAGCAUUUGUUGUUUGCUGAUUUCUGUAUGAGAGCGAGUCUAACUGGAGUGAGGUGAAACCUCAUUGUCAUUUUGAUUUGCAUUUCCCUGAUGGCUACCGAUCCUGAGCAUUUUCUCAAGUGUCUGUUGACCAUUUGAAUCUCCUCUCUUGAAAAAUGCUUGUUCAAGUCUUUGCCCAUUUCUUAACUGGAUUAUUUGUUUUGUUGUUGUUGGAUUUCUUGAGCUCUUUAUAGAUGCUGGAUGUUAGCCCUUUAUCAGUUGCAUAGUUUGCAAAUAUUUUCUCCCUUGCUGUUGGUUGUCUCUUCACUUUGCUGAGUUUCUUUUGCAGUGCAGAAGCUGCUCAGGUUGAUGUAAUUCCGUUUGCCAAUUUUGGCUUUGAUUGCCUGUGCUUCUGGGAUCUUUUUCAAGAAGUCUUUGCCUGUACAAUGUCUUGCAGAGUUUCCCUAAUGUUCUCUAGUAUUUGGAUGAUAUUGGGUCGUAGAUUUAGGUCUUUGAUUUUGAGUGAAUUUUUGUAUAAGGUCUAAGGUAAGGCUCUAGUUUCCUAUUUCUGCAUGUGGAGACCUAGCACCCUUUGUUGAAGAGACUUCUUGCUCUAGGGAUUUUUUUUUUUUUUUUUUUGGGCAGGUAGAGUUAUAGACAGUGAGAGAGAGAGAGACAGAGAGAAAGGUCUUCCUUCCGUUGGUUCACCCCUCAAAUGGCCGCAAUUGCCAGCAUGCUGCGCCAAGCCUAAGCCAGGAGCCAGGUGCUUCCGCCUGGUCUCCCAUGAGAGUGCAGGGGCCCAAGCACUUGGGCCAUCCUCCACUGCCCUCCAGGGCCACUGCAGAGAUCUGGACUGGAAGAGGAGCAACCGGGACAGAAUUGGCGCCCCAACUGGGACUAGAACCUGGAUUAGCCUAGUGAGCCACAGAGCCGGCCCGAGUUUCUGUUUUUUUCCAUUGGUCUACAAGUGUUUUUGUGCCAGUACCAGGAUGUUUUCUUUUUAACUGCUCUAUAGUUUGUCUUGAAAUCAGGUAUCAUGAUGCUUCCAGCUUUGUUUUUGUUGUAUAAUAAUGCUUUAGCUACUCAGGGUCUCUUGUGUUUCCAUAUGAAUUUUAACAUCACCUUUUCUUGAUAUGUGAAGAAUGUCAAUAUUUUGACUGGGAUCACAUUGAAUCUGUAAGUUGCUUUUGGUAGUAUAGACAUUUUGAUGAUGUUGAUUCUUCCAAUCCAUCAACAUGGAAGAUUUUUCCAUUUUUUAAUGUCUUCUUCUAUUUCUUUCUUUAGUGUUUCAUAAUUUUCAUCAUGGAGAUCUUUGACACCCUUGGUUAAAUUUAUUCCAAGGUAUUUAAUUUUUUUUGGAGCUAUUGUGUGUGGGACUGAUCUUAAAAGUUCUUUUUCAGGGCCGGCGCUGAGGCUCACUAGGCUAAUCCUCUGCCUUGCGGCGCCGGCACACCAGGUUCUAGUCCCAGUCGGGGCGCUGGAUUCUGUCCCGGUUGCCCCUCGUCCAGGCCAGCUCUCUGCUGUGGCCCGGGAGGGCAGUGCAGGAUGGCUCAAGUGCUCCCUGCACCCCAUGGGAAACCAGGAUAAGUACCUGGCUCCUGCCAUCGGAUCAGGGCGGUGCGCCGGCCGCAGCACGCCGGCCACGGCGGCCAUUGGAGGGUGAACCAAUGGCAAAGGAAGACCUUUCUCUCUGUCUCUCUCUCACUGUCCACUCUGCCUGCCCCCCCCCCAAAAAAAAAAAAGUUUUUUCAGUCAUGACAUUAUCUCUGUAUACAAAGGCUAUUGAUUUUUCCAUAUUGAUUUUAUAUCUUGCUACUUUACCAAACUCUUAAAGAGUUCCAGUAGUCUCUUAGUGCAGUCUUUUGGAUCCCCUAUAUAUAGAAUCAUAUCAUCUGCAAAUAGGAAAGGUUUGAUUUCCUCCUUUCCAAUUUACAUCCCUUUGAUUUAUUUUUCUUGCCUAAUGACUCUGGCUAAAACUUCCAGAACUAUAUUAAAUAGCAGUGGUGAGAGUGGGCAUCCUUUUCUGGUCUGGAUCUUAGGGGGAAUGCUUCCAGCUUUUCCCCAUUCAAUAAUAUGCUGGCUGUGGGUGGGUCAUAAAUCACCUUGAUUGUGUUGAAGAAUGUUCCUUCUAUACUCAAUUCUCUUAAAGUUUUCAUCAUGAAACAAUGUUGUAUUUUAUCAAAUGCUUUCUCUGCAUCUAAUGAGAUAACCAUAUGGUUUUUGUCCUUUAGUGUGUUAAUGUGAUGUAUCACAUUGAUUGAUUAUUUUAUAUUGAACCAUCCCUGCAUACCAGGGAUAAAUCCCACUUGGUCUGGAUGAGUGAUCUUUCUGAUAUGUUGUUGGAUUCAACUAGCUAAUAUUUUGUUGAAGAUUUUUGCAUCUAUAUUCAUCAGGGAUAUUGAUCUAUAGUUCUCUUUCUCUGUUGUAUCUUUUUCUGGCUAGGAAUUAAGGUGAUGCUGGCUUCAUAGAAGGAGUUUGGGAGGAUUCCCUCCCUUUCAAUUGGUUUGAAUAACUUGAGAAGAAUUGGAAUUAGCUCUUCUUUAAAUGUGUGGUAGAAUUCAGCAGUGAAGCCGUCUAGUCCUAGGCUUUUCUUUGUUGGGAAGGUCUUUAUUACUGAUUCAGUUUCCGUCUUGGUUAUUGGGCUGUUUAGGUUUUUUAUUUCUUCAUUACUCAAUUUUUGUAGAUUGUAUCUGUCUAGGAAUCUAUCCAUUUCUUCUGGGUUUCCCAAUUUGUUGACAUAUAGCUCUUUGUAGUAAUUUCUGAUGAUUCUUUUUAUUUUUGUGGUAUCUGUUGUUAUAUUUCCUUUUUCAUCUCUGAUUUUAUUGAUUUGGGUCUUCUCCCUCUUUGUUUUGUUUUUUAUUUUUGUUUUUAUGUUUUUUGGUUAGUUGGGCCAAUGGUAUAUUAAUUUUGUUUAUUUUUUUCAAAACAUCUCUUCAUUUCAUUGAUAUUUUGUUGUGUUUUUUUUAGUUCAAGUUUGUUUAUUUCUUCUCUAAUGUUAAUUAUUUCUUUCUUCCUACUAAUUUUGAGUUUUGUUGUUUUUCUAGGUCCUUGAGAUGCAUUGAUAGCUCAUUUGAGUUUUCUACAAUUUUCUGGAGAUGUGAAAAAAUACAUAAUUUUUCCCUGUCAAUAAAACCUGUUAUGUUUGGUUUUAUCCUUGUAAGA